CGUUGGGCCGGAGCUGAUUUAAGCCAUCGUGGGUGCGGUUUGACGGUCGAUUGAAAUCGAGAACCAGCCCGGUCGUGCUGCUGCGCUAGGACCCAGAGUACGCCGCCGCCGCAGCCGCUCUCUAGGUCCGGAUCUAUACUCGUCUACACCGUCCGCCGCCUCGCCGGAUCCACGCCACCCGCCGCCUUAGGUCCCUCCGUCCGAACCUGUUCUUCAGGCGUUCUAAUACAGCAGGAUUUAGGAUGCCUCGAGUUGGAGAUUCGGAAGCAUCUUCGGUCCUCAGAAUAACAGCAGAGUUCGGGUACCUCUCGUUCAUAGUCGCAGGAUGCUGGUUUGAUAACAACCUAUAUCGAUAUGGAAUGGGCUAUAUGCCCACAUUCUUAUAUUGGAGCAGAACCAUGCGGUGUCUCGGAGAUCCUUUCAUGGCAUGGAACCUUUUAUGGCUAGUUCUUGACAAAAUCGAUUCUCCCAUGGCGCGGCCCUUUACUUGGGGGAGAAUUUAAGUGAUGUAAAUGUAACAAUUUCUCAAAACCGCAACCAAAUGGUGUGGACUUAAUGAAGUUCUAGCUUUUGUCCUAACAGUGCGGUUUUCUGAAAUGCUAUGUCGAACAGUGUGGUUUUCUGAUACAUUGUCUGAAAGAAAGUGUCGCUAUGUGAAAUUUGUUCCUUUUUGAUAAUGUGAGACACUGUUUGUGGA